ensembl:lncRNA
CUCCACAAAGCACUUAUCCACUUUCAUGGGGAGAGCUGGGCUUUAAAUCCUCUGCACCGGUUUUGUGAUUAUUCAUUUUUUAACUACGCUCAGAACCAAAUCUCCACUGCAACUGACACAGUUUCACUUUGAAAAUCAAUGAGACAGUGCUACGAGGGCAGAAACGUCUUGCCUGUGAGCUUCAUAUUGUUCAGAGCGGCUGAAGUGACAGCCCUGACUGACUUCUGUUGUGAUGGAACUAAUCAGUGACAAGUGUCUGAACUCCCCUGUGGCCCUCCUCGCCCACCAGGCUGUACCCCAGCAGGAGCUUCUGAGCUAGCACAGUCUCCAGCCUGAAAAGCAGGACCUUUAAAGACUGGGAGCUGCAAAAGCUGCUAAGAGGGAGAAGCUCAGAGGCAUCUGGAGAUGAGCUGUGAUGCUGCAGUAUUAUCCAUGGCACAGUUGAAAUCAGCUUCCAAUCUGUUAAAGAAUGAACACUGACA